CCUACGGGUGGCAGCAGUGAGGAAUAUUGGUCAAUGGACGAGAGUCUGAACCAGCCAAGUAGCGUGAAGGAUGACUGCCCUAUGGGUUGUAAACUUCUUUUAUAAAGGAAUAAAACGAGGCACGUGUGCCUUUUUGCAUGUACUUUAUGAAUAAGGAUCGGCUAACUCCGUGCCAGCAGCCGCGGUAAUACGGAGGAUCCGAGCGUUAUCCGGAUUUAUUGGGUUUAAAGGGAGCGUAGAUGGGUUGUUAACUCAGUUGCGAAAGUUUGCGGCUCAACCGUAAAAUUGCAAUUGAUACUGGCAGUCUUGAGUACAGUUGAGGGAGGCGGAAUUCGUGGUGUAGCGGUGAAAUGCUUAGAUAUCACGAAGAACCCCGAUUGCGAAGGCAGCUUACUAAACUGUGACUGACAUUGAUGCUCGAAAGUGUGGGUAUCAAACAGGAUUAGAUACCCCAGUAGUC
rnacentral:rRNA from 1 species